rnacentral:rRNA from 1 species
AAUAUUUAUUUUAUUUAAUUUGUUAAUAGUUUUUAAAUUAAUUUAAAUAUAAUUUUAUUUAUUAAUAAAAUUGAAAUAUAUAAAUUUAUAAUAGUAUAUAGUAUUGUGAAAGAAUAAUAAUUUUUAUUAUAUAGAAAAAUUAAUUUUUUGUACCUUGUGUAUCAGGGCUUAUUAAUUAAAAAUAAGUUAAUUUUAUUUUUUCGAAUUUAAAAGAGCUAAUAAAUUAAAAUUUUUAUUGUUGAAUAAAUAUUUUAAAUAAUUUAUUAGUAAUGAAAUGUUAUUCGUUUUUAAAUAUAUCUAAUUUUUUAAGAAAUAAAUUUAAUUUAUUUAUUAUCAAUAUGAUUAUAAUUUUGUAUUUUUAUAUUAGUAAUAUACAAUAUUUUUAGGGAUAAGCUUAAAAAUAUAAAUUUAAUAAAAAUUAAAGUUUAAAUUAAAAUUAGAAUUAAAAAUUUUCAAAUUUUUAAGUAUAUUAUUCUUUAUUUUUGAGUAUUUAAAAUUUUUAUUUUUUAUAGAUAUUUUAUUAAAAUAUACUUUAAAAUUUUAUUAAAGUAGUAAUAAUGAUAAGAUUAGUAUAAUAAUUUUUCAAAAUAAUUGGAUAAGUUAUGUUAAGUAGAUGAAUUCGGCAAAAAAUUUUUCACCUGUUUAUUAAAAACAUGUCUUUUUGUUUUAAAUUUAAAGUCUUGCCUGCCCACUGAUAUUUGAAUGGCCGCGGUAUUUUGACCGUGCUAAGGUAGCAUAAUCAUUAGUUUUUUAAUUGAAAGCUAGAAUGAAGGGUUGGAUGAAAAAAUAACUGUUUUUAUUUAAUUUUUAUAGAAUUUUAUUUUUUAGUUAAAAAGCUAAGAUAGCAUUAAAAGACGAGAAGACCCUAUAGAGUUUAAUAGAUAUAUUAUUAAUUUUUAAGAUUUAAUAUUGUAUUUAUUUUAAUUGGGGUGAUUGAAAAAUUUAAUUAACUUUUUCUUUAUGUUUAUAUUUAUAGAUAAAUAAUUGAUCCGAUAAAAUUGAUUAAAAGAAAAAAUUACCUUAGGGAUAACAGCGUAAUUUUAUUGGAGAGUUCUAAUCGAUAAUAAAGUUUGCGACCUCGAUGUUGGAUUAAAAUUUAUAGUUGGUGAAGAAGUUAACUUAUUAAGUCUGUUCGACUUUUAAAAUUUUACAUGAUCUGAGUUUAAACCGGUGUGAGCCAGGUUGGUUUCUAUCUUUAAUUUGUUAAUAUAUUUUAGUACGAAAGGACCAAAUAUGUAAAUUAAAUUUUAAAUUUGAUAAAUAAU